rnacentral:rRNA from 1 species
UACGGGGGGGGCAAGCGUUGUUCGGAAUUACUGUGCGUAAAGGGCGCGUAGGCGGUUCGCUAAGUUGAAUGUGAAAACUCUGGGCUUAACCCAGAGCCUGCAUUCAAUACUGGCGGGCUAGAGUUCUGGAGGGGAUAGCGGAAUUCCUGGUGUAGCGGUGAAAUGCGUAGAUAUCAGGAGGAACACCGGUGGCGAAGGCGGCUAUCUGGACAGAGUCUGACGCUGAGGCGCGAAAGCUAGGGGAGCAAACAGG